rnacentral:lncRNA from 1 species
UCAGUGUGGCCUCAAGUGAACAGGAAAAGCUCAUAUUUCAAGGCCACUGACUGCAGCCCAUUCACCUCCCUUGAAGCAACGGACACUGUCGCCUUUCCAGUACAGAAAAUAAGGUUACUGGCGUGGUUGGUGGGAAGACAAGGACCGCUAUGAACCCCAAGCUGACGGAUAAUGUGGAGUACUGCUCUUGGUAAGGGAGCAUCGGCAACCUGAGUUGACUGGGCUUUCCUGAAGAGGGCUCUUGACAUGCAUUCAUCCACU